UUUUGGUUCAACCAAUCGCCUGUGAAAGUUGAAUCAUGUAAAUUCCCUAUUAGCACACCAGUCGCUGCUGGUGAAUUUUCCUGUCGGCAAAAACAGCAUGUGAUCGCGGCGCGCCGGUUGGAUUUGUGAAAAGUCACAAUCAACUAAACUGAGAUGAGGCAUGCACUGAGACAAUGCCUCAACGCGUCAAGGCGGAGCGGCGAGCAACAGGCAAACCAACUAAAAGCAAGGCAACACAUCGCAGUAGAUCUUGUAGAGUUUUACUAGAGUCUACGAAGAGUAACUCAAUUCAGUUGAGCAUUGGACGGCGGAGCAAGCGCACGGAUUACUUGGGAUCGAAUUGGAUUGCCAAGGUACGGAUCGGUUCGUUAGUGGUGAAGCAAAGAAAAACUAAAAAGGUUCAAAGAAAAGUGAUAUUCAAGAAUUUGUAUUUGUAUGUGUGGGUGUAUGCUAGUCUCUGUCUCUAGCUGUCUGACAGGCAGUCAUACUAAACGACUGUGGCUGGCUCCAUGAUGAAAAAUAAAACGCGCAAGAGUAUCUAAGAAAUUAUUAAAGUGAAUGUUAAACCCAUCAAAAUAAAGCAAAAGAAAAAUUAAAUUUUUAGGCGCACAUUUUUUGGAAAUUCGAAGCUGGAGAGAAACUUUGUUAUGCUAAAAUGCACAUGUUCAAAAUAUUAUUUUAUGCAAUUUAAACAAAACUCUUCAGCAUAUUCAACAAGCUCAUUUCGUAGAACCGAAAUUUCGUUUAAACCAAAAGCAAAUACAAAAUAUCAAAUAAGUGAGAAGUACAUGUAUACAUAUGUAUGAAGAACUGCAGUACAACAACCUCAACAAAACAGCAUAAAAAUUAUGUUUUUAUCUUGCAACUCGAAAGCAGCCGUGAAUUAGUGUAUUUGACUUCCCGUGCAUUUGCUCUGAAUCUGUAUUGAGUACGGCGAGCGAAGUGAGUAGUCAAAGGGAGUUAAGGCCAUCUGAUCGAGCGCUCAAGUGUAAAAACUACCUGUGCAACGAAGAAAGCCAGCUGACCGCGAAUAGGGCGAGACACUCGACGGGCAAUUGUGUAAAGGUGUAAAACGAUGUAAAAAAAACCAAAACAGAUACAAAAGUAUAGAGUAAAACAAAUUACGAAAUAAAAAAGUAGAUAAUAAUAAUAG